rnacentral:rRNA from 1 species
UACGUAGGGGGCAAGCGUUGUCCGGAAUCAUUGGGCGUAAAGCGCGUGUAGGCGGCUUGGUAAGUCCGCUCUGAAAGCCCGGGGCUCAACCCCGGGAGGCGGGUGGAUACUGUCAAGCUCGAGUCCGGAAGAGGCGAGUGGAAUUCCUGGUGUAGCGGUGAAAUGCGCAGAUAUCAGGAGGAAUACCGAUUGCGAAGGCAGCUCGCUGGAACGUAACUGACGCUGAGACGCGAAAGCGUGGGGAGCAAACAGG